UACGGAGGGGGCGAGCGUUAUUCGGAAUUAUUGGGCGUAAAGGGCGCGUAGGCGGCUUGAUGUGUCAAAGGUGAAAUCCCUCGGCUCAACUGAGGAACUGCCUUUGAAACUGUCUGGCUUGAGGCCGGGAGAGGGUAGCGGAAUUCCCAGUGUAGCGGUGAAAUGCGUAGAUACUGGGAGGAACACCGGUGGCGAAGGCGGCUACCUGGACCGGUUCUGACGCUGAUGCGCGAAAGCGUGGGGAGCGAACGGG
rnacentral:rRNA from 1 species